rnacentral:rRNA from 1 species
GCUAUAACCUUCAGGGUUAAGCGUGGAGGCAUCUUUGGUGAUGGCGACAAUAAUAUUAUUUGCAUCGUAAACAAUCUUUAUUGUGUCUGGCUGAAAGUUUUUCACUUCCUCAUACCAGUUUUUUCCGUCUUCGGACCAUAACCAGAUAACAUCAAAAUUCUUUGUUAGCUGAUAUUGUUCAACGGUUUUUGGAUUACCUGACUUAAUGUUUUUUAAAUGCUGCAUAAUUUACACCUGCGCAACGUUAUACCAUGUGCCAUUGAUGUAUUUUUGUAUUGGUCUGAAUACUGCUGGGUCAUCACCAUCAACUUCACCGACAAUACCAAGCCCCGUGAUUACAUGGCCUGAUUUUUCAUACAUCACGCCUUUUUGCAUGGUCUGAACAACACGUGUGCCAAGUCUGACAUCUCUCACAUAGCGGGAAUCAAAGUUACCGUAAUCCGAGGGGUUAACACGCCCUGUAAUAUUUAUGGUUUUAUUACUUUGAAUGCUGCCGGAGACAAAGCGCAUAACAUGGACGUUAUUAGCAUAAACAUCCAGAUACCCGUCGCCAUUUUGUUUAAAUCCCGUGUCAUUAUCACCCAAAACAAUCGAGUUACCGCCAAGAGCACUGGAUGUUCCGAUACCCAAUGCACCAUUCAAUUGACCGCCAGAUAAUGACAACGCCCCAACCUCAGCAGCAGUCGGUUUAAUGUGCGAACUGUAAAUUACAUAUACAGUUCCAUCUGUCAGGCCUGUUGGUUUAUUCGCUGUAUAAGUUGGUGAUGUAUGAAUUUGUACAGUUGCAUCCUUUGUAUAAUCCCACUGGAUAUUAACACCUGUGGCGUAAUUACCUAUUUCUACAUAAAUGUCAUAGGUAUCACCGGAUGUAUUCACCCAUGCAAAAUUAGUAAAUCCAACCGAGGUCCGUCGCCAUAAUGCACCAGUAAGACCUUUUGGAUUUCCAUUUCCCGCACGAAGAACAAGUUCAGAUAUACCAGCCUGCAUAGGGGAGUUAACAUUAUAUCCAGCACCACCAAUCAGACUUAUGUAAACCACGGAACUGGCUUGUGGCAUUGUUACAGUUGCCAGUUUGAACCAUCCAGCACCACCACUAAAAGACAUGGUUGUUGAAUUUGUUGUGCCGAUAUUACGCAGGAAUAGUUUUUUAUCGGGAAUAUCUGCGCCGUUCUGGUUUUUCUGUAAUGCGCCAGAAGCCUGAUUUACCGUUUCCUGCAAACCGAGGUAUUCGAUAACGGCAGCAACGGUCGAUUUCGCAAGAAUAUCCCGCCCGACUUUUGUCAGGGUUGCCAGGCUGGCGACAUCAUUCCCCGUAAAAUACGGAAACUUGUCUGCCGCAGUAGCAAGCCCGGCCAGCGCCGUCAGGGUGGCAUCUUUCGGUUGCUUACCCGCAAGCGCGUUAGUCAUGGUGGUCGCAAAAUUCGGGUCGUUUCCCAGCGCCGCCGCUAACUCGUUCAGCGUAUUCAGUGCGUCAGGUGACGAAUCUACAAGGGCGGCAAUCGCAGCCAUAACGAAAGCCGUGCUUGCGAUUUGGGUAUUAUUCGUUCCCUGUCGCGCAGUUGGC